UAAUCUGAAAUUUCUCUCUCGUCUGUGGUAUUGAUUUCUUUAGAUAUAGUCUCUCUAAUCUGUGCAUUCGUUACUUAGUACUUACCCUGUGAAAUAAUAAAAAUUAAAAAUUUUAUAGAUACUUAUUGCACUUUUCUCUUUUGCUCCUUGUUUUUUAGUAUAAAAUCUUUAUAAAAUCAAGAAAUAUGUCAAGAAAUAUAAAAGCUAUUUAUGAUAAGCUUUUGGAGACAGAAAAAGCAAUUGAUGACUUACUUGAUGGUGAUAAUAAGGCAUUUCAAGUAUUGCUUCUACAUCAGUAUAAUGAUAUUAAAGAUGCAACACAGAUUGUAAUUAACCAUAUAGCAAAUCUCGAGGAUACCACCAUAACUGAAGUACAUGAGCGGUUACAACUCAACAAUGAAUGAAAUAAAACAAUUUGUUGUAUAAUAA
rnacentral:misc_RNA from 1 species